rnacentral:rRNA from 1 species
UACGUAGGGCGCGAGCGUUGUCCGGAUUUAUUGGGCGUAAAGAGCUCGUAGGCGGCUUGUCGCGUCGACUGUGAAAUCCCGCGGCUCAACUGCGGGUCUGCAGCCGAUACGGGCAGGCUAGAGUUCGGUAGGGGAGACUGGAAUUCCUGGUGUAGCGGUGAAAUGCGCAGAUAUCAGGAGGAACACCAAUAGCGAAGGCAGCUCGCUGGGACGUUACUGACACUGAGGCGCGAAAGCGUGGGGAGCGAACAGG